GCACUGCAAAAGAAAGGACACCUUGUUGAAAUUGUGCUUCCCAAAUAUGAUUGUAAGCAAUAUGAUCGUGUCUGCAACUUACGGGCUUUGAGCGUGGAGAUAGAAUCAUACUUUGAUCACCAAUUAUACAAAAGUAAAAUCUGGGUUGGCAGUGUUGUAGGUCUUCCUGUUUAUUUUAUUGAGCCCCAGCAUCCUUCUAAGUUCUUUUGGAGAGGAAAAUUUUAUGGCGAGCAUGAUGAUUUCAGACGAUUUUCAUUUUUUAGCCGUGCUGCUCUUGAGUUUCUUCUACAA